rnacentral:rRNA from 1 species
GACAGAGGAUGCAAGCGUUAUCCAGAAUGAUUGGGCGUAAAGCGUCUGUAGGUGGCUUUUCAAGUCCGCCGUCAAAUCCCAGGGCUCAAUCCUGGACAGGCGGUGGAAACUACCAAGUUGGAGUACGGUAGGGGCAGAGGGAAUUUCCGGUGGAGCGGUGAAAUGCAUUGAGAUCGGAAAGAACACCAACGGCAAAAGCACUCUGCUGGGCCAACACUGACACUGAGAGACAAAAGCUAGGGGAGCAAAUGGG